rnacentral:rRNA from 1 species
GACGAACGCUGGCGGCGUGCUUAACACAUGCAAGUCGAGCGGUAAGGCCCUUUCGGGGGUACACGAGCGGGCGAACGGGUGAGUAACACGUGGGUGACCUGCCCUUAGCUCUGGGAUAAGCCUGGGAAACUGGGUCUAAUACCGGAUAUGACUCCAUGACGCAUGUUGUGGGGUGGAAAGCCUUGUGCGGCUAGGGAUGGGCCCGCGGCCUAUCAGCUUGUUGGUGGGGUGAUGGCCUACCAAGGCGACGACGGGUAGCCGGCCUGAGAGGGCGACCGGCCACACUGGGACUGAGACACGGCCCAGACUCCUACGGGAGGCAGCAGUGGGGAAUCUUGCGCAAUGGGCGAAAGCCUGACGCAGCGACGCCGCGUGAGGGAUGACGGCCU